rfam:Sulfurivirga caldicuralii strain DSM 17737 genome assembly, contig: Ga0131102_11
CGCGGGAUGGAGCAGUCUGGUAGCUCGUCGGGCUCAUAACCCGAAGGUCGCAGGUUCAAAUCCUGCUCCCGCAA